rnacentral:snoRNA from 1 species
AAGACUAUACUUUCAGGAUCAUUUCUAUAGUUGGUUAGCUGCCAUCAAGUCGGCUCCAACCCACAGCAACCCCAUGCACAACAG